rnacentral:rRNA from 1 species
AUGAGAGCCGGAGGCAAACCCGGACCAACAAGGACGCAGACCUCUCCUCCGGCUUACCUGAAGCAUCAAGGAAGCGUCGGACCGAGGAAACUUCACCUUUCUCCGGUGACUCCAUGCAAUCUAACUUGCCGGCUUUCAAGACCGCACCCGGGUAAUGAUGACCAGCUUAUUUUGUGCUUAUCUUACUCAUGUUUUUGCACUAACCUUUUGACUUUCAGUGCACAAGCAAAGCCCAGCAAGAGGGCAAAGAAAAGUAAACCGGUCGAAGAGCCGGUCUUGACUGAACCCAACGCCUCUGCCUCUGAGCCGCCGUCUGCACCAGCUCCAGAAACCACCACCGCCCCAUCUGACGAGCAAGUUAUGGAGGGUUCUGAUAACCCGGAGAUCCCCAGCCCGGCUCACCCGGAUGUGGUAAUUACCCGGACCGAAUUUGUUGAACCGGGAAGACCCACCGUGCUGGCUAAGUGCUCUGCUAAGGAGGAACUUCUGGAACGACGCAGAGCCAGGCUGGACAUUACUAACUAUGCCAAUCUGAGCAUUGGAGAUAUUGUCGCUGGUUAUAUUGGUCAAGUGCACAACAGCCGGGACCUGGAAAUUGACAUGGUGAAGCAGAUACAGCAAAAAUCUGAGGUAGAACUCUCUUGCUUACUCCAUAGUCAUCCUUACCAUGCUAGCCCCCAAGUCUAUUACUUAUGA